rnacentral:rRNA from 1 species
AUUGAACGCUGGCGGCAGGCCUAACACAUGCAAGUCGAGCGGAUGAAGGGAGCUUGCUCCUGGAUUCAGCGGCGGACGGGUGAGUAAUGCCUAGGAAUCUGCCUGGUAGUGGGGGAUAACGUCCGGAAACGGGCGCUAAUACCGCAUACGUCCUGAGGGAGAAAGUGGGGGAUCUUCGGACCUCACGCUAUCAGAUGAGCCUAGGUCGGAUUAGCUAGUUGGUGGGGUAAAGGCCUACCAAGGCGACGAUCCGUAACUGGUCUGAGAGGAUGAUCAGUCACACUGGAACUGAGACACGGUCCAGACUCCCACGGGGGGCAGCAGUGGGGAAUAUUGGACAAUGGGCGAAAGCCUGAUCCAGCCAUGCCGCGUGUGUGAAGAAGGUCUUCGGAUUGUAAAGCACUUUAAGUUGGGAGGAAGGGCAGUAAGUUAAUACCUUGCUGUUUUGACGUUACCAACAGAAUAAGCACCGGCUAACUUCGUG